ensembl:miRNA
CAGCAGACUGGGUUUAAAGGGAAUUUGCGACUGUUAAUCAAACCAAUCGAACAGCCACACCUUCCUUUUAAGAUCUUGUCUGCUG